UAGAAAGUAAUUUUAGAAUUUUUUACAACAGUGAUUUGUUACCUUCAUCAACACACCUUCUAGAAAAACUCAGUUGUAUUGGGCAGUUAACCGAUGAGCAGGUGAAACAUGCUGACAUAAUAAAAAAACAUUUGGAGAAAAUAAACCUGGCACUUUUUAGAAAAUUGAAAUUGUUACCUAGGAAUGUUCCCUGUGUUGAGUUUGAAGCUCUUAUUGAUGAUAUUUUAGUAAAGCUCCUUGAAGAGGAACCUGAUCGAUUGACAAGAUAUAGAGUUGGAUGUUUUCUGAAAUCCCUGAGAAGUCUUACAACUGAUGUUAAAAGAAAUCCUGACCAUAAAAUUUAUGAAGAAAGUUACACAAAACUGUUUAUUUCAUUUUCAGAGAUGUGCUGUCUACAUGCUUGUUUUACACUUGGGAAAGGAGAUCAAACUGAUUGGAAAAAUUUACGAGAAAAUAAAAGUGUCACCUCUCGUCCAGAUAUAAGACUGAUGAAAUCUGGACUUGAUAUUACGAGAAAAGAGGAAUUUGAUUUAUCGU